AAAUAGAACUUUGCAGAGAGAGUUAACAGGGCGUGAAACCGUUAAUUGGCAAACGAAUCGGAGCCACGAAGUCGUUUCGCUGUUGGCGGGGGUUCAGUUUAGCUAGAGAUAGCUGGGCGUAUUCCCCCUAGCCAACCUUGUAAGCGUACACUGCAACCAGUUAGACGAUUGGUGAUGGGCCCAGUCGGGUUAGUAGUAGCGUGUGUGUGCUUCGGCUCACUCGUGUUGCUGGACCCGCGGCAGGUGAACUAUACACCAAAGACUGACUGGCAAAAUGAAAAUCGCUACGGCGUAGAGAAAGCGGUGCCUGUACUGGAUGCUACAUGCCGGACCAUGUAGUUAUAGUUCGGCAUCUUUGAAUUUGGACUUGCUUGCUACCAGUGGGGCAACUCCUGGUGCUUGUACAGCUUCCAUCUAAUCGGGUGUUGACUUGACUGCAUGUAGUUCCUGUAUGAAACGAUUGGUGUUCAGUACAAGGUAAUUCGCCAACUUAUUGGCAGUGAGUAGGUCGGCUUUCCGAACGACCCGUCUUGAAACACGGAAGGAGUCUAAUUAGGCAUCAAGUCGAUCGGUCUUGAUUAGGCCAGACAGUAGCUCUCGCUACGAUUGAAGGCGUAGAGAAAUCAUGUGAUGGCCCUUCAAACAGGGCCCGCAACAUGUGCCUGUUGCGCCGUGUGUGUAAUACCAGCAGCGGAGCAAAGAGAUGCCUGAUUGGUACCCGAAAGAUGGUGAGCCUGGGCAAAUUGAAGCCAGAGGAAACUCUGGUGGAGGAUUUAGUUCUGACGUGCAAAUCGAUCGUCAGCUGGGUAUAGGGGCGAAAGACUAAUCGAACCAUC
rnacentral:rRNA from 1 species